rnacentral:lncRNA from 1 species
CCUUGGAAGAUGGCUGUGAGCACGGUGGCCACCAUGUGGGUGGCGUGCCACUUGGUGGAACCUGGCGAGGCGGCGCAGCCGGUGGCGGCCCCGAUUAUGGUGAGGGCAUGGAGGAAGAUGAGGAGGAGGCCGCAAGGUGAGGGGAUGAGGCGGAGGGAGAGGGUGAGGAAGAUGCAGCUGGAGGCAGCACCGAGGAGGAUGUAGUUGCAGAGGAGGAAGACCUUGUGUGAGUGAUA